GGGGAAUCUUGCGCAAUGGGCGAAAGCCUGACGCAGCGACGCCGCGUGAGUGAUGAAGGCCCUCGGGUUGUAAAGCUCUGUGGAGAGGAACGAAUAAGGGCUGGCUAAUACCCAGCAUGAUGACGGUACCUCUUUAGCAAGCACCGGCUAACUCUGUGCCAGCAGCCGCGGUAAGACAGAGGGUGCAAACGUUGUUCGGAAUUACUGGGCGUAAAGCGCGUGUAGGCGGUUCGGUAAGUCGGGUGUGAAAGCCCUGGGCUCAACCCAGGAAGUGCACCCGAAACUCUCGAACUGGAGUCCUGGAGAGGAAGGCGGAAUUCUCGGUGUAGAGGUGAAAUUCGUAGAUAUCGAGAGGAACACCGGUGGCGAAGGCGGCCUUCUGGACAGUGACUGACGCUGAGACGCGAAAGCGUGGGGAGCAAAC
rnacentral:rRNA from 1 species